UAAAACUGUCUUUUGGUACACAUUCUGGAUUAAAAUUCAUUUGGUAUCAAGACAAACAUCUUUUAACGUUUUCUUUCUCCUUCUGUCACUACGGGACACAUAUGCUAGAUAUGUUUUCAAAAUGAGAAAGAAAUGUCUACUCUGGAAUGUUUUUGAGCAAGGCAGUACACCAGUGGACUCUACUUAGCCAUUUAUUGCUCUUUUGUCAGUUUUGGUCCAAGCGGUCGUUUGAUUUAAAUUUACUUACAAUGUCAAUAUCAAAUGCUAAGCUAAUCAAAUUUGUCUAAAAAGAAAAAGCGAUCUGCUCGAGUCUAAAGACAACAUAGAAUAUCGGCCGUUUGUAUAUGGUUCUGAAAAGUCGCUUCACAUAUCAAAGACACAAUCAUGCAGAAACAUGGUUGUCUUUUUUCUUUGGUAUAAAGAGUCAUGCCACUAGCACUGCAACUGCUUUUCCAUUUACAUGACAAAUAAAGCAAGUAAGAGAACAAACUCUCUUAUCUCUAAUUUAGUGUUUGUUUGUGUAAAAUCUAGAACCAUUUGAGCUGGCAUAAUGCUAUGAAGGGUUCAAAAUGAUGGUAUGAUAAGGAUGCAGAAUUGUGCUCAUGGGUGGCUUCAUCUGACUCUGAGGGGACAAGGAUCAGCCCGGAAUCUAUACAUCUUGGUUCCACAAAUGGAGCAAGACGUGGCAGCAUGAUUCUUCAGUCCUGAUUAAGCUAAGACAAAUAUAUGAAUUUAAGAAAGUUGUACUUUACUUGCAUCGCAAUUAAAGGCCAACGUGAACAUGUCAGACCGGUUCAAAGAUAAAGCCAAGAGAAUCCAAUCGUCAUCAAGGGUGUACUCUAUCAAGAUGCCAAGGCUAGCAUUAUGCAAAUCUCGGUUGCUGAUAUAUUUACUGUAAAAAUAGUUCUAAAGUUCAUCUUGGUAUUUCAUCAAGCUUGCACGUUCAAUUCUAAUUAUGCAACCUUUCAGCUGUUUUUCUCUUUCUAGAAACAUUCUUGAAUGCACCUAAAAUUCUUCUACCUAUGCUAAUCACGUCUUGACAUGUGACAACUGAAUACAAUAUAGCUGCUAAACUAAUGAUAAUGGAAUGUACUAGGAAAUUUG
rnacentral:sRNA from 1 species